UCAAGGAAAUUCCAGCUUAGUCAAGAGAGAUGAAAAUUUAAUCUAAGUGUAAUGAAGUAUUUUAGGGGAUGGUGAAGUGAGGGCACAGGAGACAGUGGUCAGUUCUAUCUGAAAAAGGAGGAGGUGGAAAGACCUCAUGGAAGAGUUUUCUGAACCCACCUUGAAGGAAGUCUAGGGUUUCGCCCAGCCAACCAUGUGGACAUUUAGGUACAGAGUCAUCAGGGUCAGCGAUGCCCUGGCCCUUGAGACAUCCUGGCAGUUUGGAGGAACUACAAGAAUCUAUGUGGCUACAGCAUAUGGUGUGAGAAGCAGUGAAGGCAGUGAAGUGCCAUUUGCUGUGGACCAUGGCAUGGAAUUUCCAUGGGCCAAGGCAGUUGGAAAGACAAUGAAGGGUUUGAACCAGACUUUCAUUUGGGGAAGAUCACCAUCCAUGGCAUGAAGGAUGAUGUGGGAAAAACAAACAAAAAAACCAUGCCCAGAACUCUUCAGAAGAGGAUCCCAUCUUGUGUUCAGUAGUGGUCAAGAUAUGCAGUCCUUUUGAAAACAGGGCACUCCUCCUUACAGAGGGUCCUUAUCACUUGUCAGCAUUGCCUUUGGUGGAGAAGGCCUAUAGAUUAAGGGCUUAAAGGGACAGAAAAUUACAGCAAAAAAAGAAUAUGGCAAAGACCUCACAGCAGGAUCUCAUGUCUCUUAAAGCUGGCACUUUCAUGCUUCUAACUUUAAACAAAGUGACAGAAGGGGAAAACAGAAUUUGCUAGGGAUAAUGAAAGUCUGUAACAUUUUUGCUAUCAAAAUGAGAAAAUGCUUAAGGAGAGAGAGAUCAUUAAAAUUAGUUUUGAACUUUAGCAAAACAAUUUUAACCCUCUAGCAAAGAGAUAGACUUCUUUCUUCUCUACCAGCUACUCCUCAAGGGAAAGGACCAUUUGGUGGAAAUUUUGUUCUGAAGAAGCAGAGGCUGAAGUCCCAAGCCUCUAAAUUGUAGUCAGAACUCAGGAAUAUCUAACAUUGAAGGCAACAAGUUGUUGAGAGGAACAAAGUCCUUGAGGCAAUUUCCAAAAAUUGCACAUGCUUUAUCCAAGUUCCAUUGAAACACAUCCAGACUAUACCUGAAAAAUUCCCCCUCUCUCCCCAAGAGAAGCAUAUUUACCUUGUGGUAUCAUGGAAGACAUUCCAGCAUCUGGCCACCCAGGAGCAGAUGGGUUUGGGGCCAUCACUGAACAUUUCCUUAGCUGUACUGGGCUCUGAAAACUUACUCUGAAGUCCUUGCGCUGUGCCUACUUGCAAUGAAUCACUGGCUGAAGCUUGAAGGAUGGGUAGAGUAUUUGGUAGAAAUGUAGAGGAGGAGGAAUUAAGGUAAAGAAAUAACGUGGGCUAAAAUACGGAGAAAGAAAGAACAAGGUGCAUUUAUGUGGAGGCUCGGGGGCAGCUAGCAGGCUAAGGUUGGCAAACCUCUCAGACUGACAAGAGUUUAACGUUCAAGUGGCGAAUUAGCGCAAAAUGGAAUAGAAGGGUAGGUUUAGCAGGGCCUCAAUCUCCUAGUUAAAAACAUUUUUUUUUCAUUCUCCAGGUACUGAGAUGGCGUUUGCUUUGGUACUUUGCACAAAGUACGUAUUAGGGACGUGAAUUGAAUCACUUCAUUUUAGAUUUGGGAAGGAAGGAGUGAAUGAAUGAAUAUACCACCCAGAAUAUUAAACAUUCCAAAUCUGCA